rnacentral:rRNA from 1 species
CUGGACGGUCACAGCGGUGGGGUUCACCCGGACUCAUUCCGAACCCGGUAGUUAAGCCCACCCGCGUUCCUUAUGGUACUUUGGUGCUCGCGCCCAUGGGAAGUUUGGAUCGCUGUCCGUC